rnacentral:rRNA from 1 species
UACGUAGGGAGCAAGCGUUGUCCGGAAUCAUUGGGCGUAAAGCGCGUGUAGGCGGCUUGGUAAGUCUGCUCUGAAAGCCCGGGGCUCAACCCCGGGAGGCGGGUGGAUACUGUCAAGCUCGAGUCCGGAAGAGGCGAGUGGAAUUCCUGGUGUAGCGGUGAAAUGCGCAGAUAUCAGGAGGAACACCAAUGGCGAAGGCAGCUCGCUGGGACGUGACUGACGCUGAGACGCGAAAGCGUGGGGAGCAAACAGG